CUGUAAAAAGUAAACACAUAGCAUUAUGAAUAAUUGGGAGUCAUUAACCAUUUCUGUUGUUGCAUUAAAGGACCACAGUUAGAUUUUCCCCAUGACGGAAAAAUAUGAGCAAUACAACAAAAAUGGAUUUGGAGGAGUCAAUACCUAGAACUGUAACAUUUCCUUCUGCUAGUCUUCUUCCAGACAAUUGUUUCAUCUUGCUGUGACAACAUAUCCCAGCAAAGAUUUUCA
rnacentral:lncRNA from 1 species